rnacentral:lncRNA from 1 species
UCACCCCCCCACCGGCUGGGUGGCUGGGCUCCAGGCACCGGGAUAGCACUGGAUAGCAGCUCCCUGUCAUUCAAGUGACAGCGCAAGCCGAGUGUGGACAGUCCCCGCUCCAUGGUUUUGAGUCCCUGGUGCUCUACUCUGCCCCCCACCCCAGUAUGCUUAUUUCAAACAAGCCGUGUCAGUCCCAGUCUGGCUGCCCAGGACGUGACCAUGUGGACCCUCACUUCUUCUCCUUUCGCUUCUUCCUUUCUGCCAGUUUGUGUUUUUUUGUUUUGCUACCUGAAAGCAUUUGCAUCUGAAACUCAAGGAGGGAAAGAGCAGAAAUUCAAAGGAGGCAUUUCUGCCUGGCGGUGGGCUAAGUCUCAGGCUUGGUGUGCAGGAGGUGGAAAGCAGUGUCAGGAGGUCACUGAGCUAGAUUUUGAAGAGCCUGCAAGUUCCUCACGUUACAGAUGGAGAAACCUCAGUUUCUCCCAAGGACAGGUGUGCACCCAAGGCCCCACAUCCAGCCUGGAGCCCAACGCUUGGCUUGAACUCAAGACUCUGAGAUCAAGACCUGAGCUGAGAUCAAGAGUCAAACCUUAACCAACUGAGCCACCCAAGGGCCCCCCAAACACAUAUGCUAAGUGACAGGGGUCCUCUGAAUCUGUCUCCUCUUCUCCCCACCUUUACUCAAACCGAGUCUCAUGGGGUUAGGCAGUGGGAGGCGGCAUGUCUAUCUGGGGCAGAAGCCUGGAGCAAAUUAUGGUUCUUUCUGCGAGAGACUUUCAAGCUUGUCCGUGGCACAGAGCAGCACGCGUGCCCUCCUAUCCUCGCCGCCCCCUGCCCGCUCCCCCCAUCCACAGUGGCACUGCUUCACUGAGCAGAGCUUUUCCAAGACUCCCACUAACUCCCCAAAAGUCAAACAUAGAAUUACUCUGGGUAAUACCACUUGUGGGUAUAUGGCCCAGGGAGCUGAAAACAGGGACAAAUAUUUUUAUGCAGAUGCUCACAGCAGCGACUUUCACAAGAGCCACAAGGUGGCAACAAGCCCAAUGUCCGUGAGCAGAUGGAGUUAAGUAAGGGGUGGCAUGCCCACGUGCUAGAAUAUUACUUGGCCGUAAACAGAAGAACAAACACCUGCUACAAUGUGGCUGAGCCUCGAAGAUGAUCAUGCUGAGUGGGAGAAGCCAGUCAACAAGAGGCUGGAGAUUGUACGGCCCCAUUUCUAUGGAAGGUUCUUGAAUGGGCAAAUCGGCAGAGACAUAGAGCGGAUCCCUGGUUGGCAGGGGCUGGGGGUUGGGGGCUGGGGUUGAUGGCUAAUGGCUAUAGGGUUUUGUUUUGGGGUGAUGGAAAUGCUUCGAAACUAGACGAGAGGUGAUGGUUGCC